GAUGAACGCUGGCGGCGUGCCUAAUACAUGCAAGUCGAGCGAACAGACGAGGAGCUUGCUCCUCUGACGUUAGCGGCGGACGGGUGAGUAACACGUGGAUAACCUACCUAUAAGACUGGGAUAACUUCGGGAAACCGGAGCUAAUACCGGAUAAUAUAUUGAACCGCAUGGUUCAAUAGUGAAAGACGGUUUUGCUGUCACUUAUAGAUGGAUCCGCGCCGCAUUAGCUAGUUGGUAAGGUAACGGCUUACCAAGGCAACGAUGCGUAGCCGACCUGAGAGGGUGGUAGGCCACACUGGAACUGAGACACGGUCCAGACUCCUACGGGGGGCAGCAGUAGGGAAUCUUCCGCAAUGGGCGAAAGCCUGACGGAGCAACGCCGCGUGAGUGAUGAAGGUCUUCGGAUCGUAAAACUCUGUUAUUAGGGAAGAACAAAUGUGUAAGUAACUAUGCACGUCUUGACGGUACCUAAUCAGAAAGCCACGGCUAACUACGUG
rnacentral:rRNA from 1 species